UACGAGGGGGGCGAGCGUUGUUCGGAAUUAUUGGGCGUAAAGGGUGCGUAGGCGGCCUGACAAGUCUGAUGUGAAAUCCCUGGGCUCAACCCAGGGCCUGCAUCGGAAACUGUCGGGCUUGAGUAUGGGGAGAGGUGAGUGGAAUUUCCGGUGUAGCGGUGAAAUGCGUAGAUAUCGGAAGGAACACCUGUGGCGAAGGCGGGUCUCUGGACAGUUCCUGACGCUGAGGCACGAAGGUCAGGGGAGCAAACGGGG
rnacentral:rRNA from 1 species